ensembl:lncRNA
GUUCACUUAGCUGCCUCUUAAUACACAGAUAUCUGGUCUGUGAGCUCGCAUUAGGCAUUCCUUGCAUGCAUACUGAAUAUGUGCAGAAAUGUGCUCAUGCAGGCUUUGAUGUCUGCAGUAUGUAACAUCAUCUGUUCUCCGAUAAAAUUGUCCUCUGAGCUCAGGACCACAUUUGGGGAUCCUUCUGCCUGCAAUUCUGACUUUGUGCAACAUCUGGGGAGUUUAACAUGUGCUCAGGAGGGCAGCAUGCUAUUAAUUGGACAUUAAGUGGUGGGCCAUGUCUGAGGCCAUUGCACGUUGUAUUAAUUACGGAGUGGCUAAUAACAACCUUCUGCCCCUGGUAUUUAUAGAAUAAUAAAAUCUGUCCCUGACACUGGCCUCACAUCUGGCAAAACUGGCAAACACAUUUUCAUUUACCUCCCUUUCUCAAGCGUGUUAAUAGCUUUCAGAUUUCCAGAGGAACAACUGGAGAUCUUAGAGCAAUACAGACUCAGUGCUAAUGGCUUCAGACUGAAGGCAGAGCUAAGAUUUUCACUUCAAACAGGGCUGGAUCCCCUAUUCCUCCCCUUGCCCUGUGUGACAUGGUGGAUAUGGGCAUGUCGUGCUGGAUGAGAUACUUACAAACACUGCAGUCCUGUUUUGGAAACAUUCCCCUGUGCUAUUACAUCAAAUACAAGCAAGCAUGGCUGUAACCAUUGGUAUUUCCAACCAGUGGGUUUCUGUGGGCUCUGGGACUGCAUCCCUGAGCUGCUGGGUGAUGGGAAAGUUCUGGAGAGCCUGUGAUGACGAGGAGGCAGGGGCUGACACAGAACUGCAGUGGGUGCAGCUGCUGAAGAGCAUGGCUGGAGUGUAGCAACACAAAGACAGGAUUAGAAGAAAAUAAGGGCUCAAAAACAAUGGGGUCAGCUCAGUUUGGAGGGAGCAGACGAAGACAACACUUGCUUUAAUGCGCAGAAUUAUAUCAUCGGCAGCCAGAGGUCACAUCCUGCUGUCUUUUAAAAGAUAACUGCAGCCCCUCUCUGUUUCCCUGCUCCCUUAUAAACCUGGCUCGACCCAUACCCCGUAGCAGCAAGAGCGCACAGCCCAACAUCUUGGAUUAGUUAUGAGUGUCUCAGAUGCGCUCCAACUCAUAUUUCAUAUCAUUCCCCCAGCCAUAAGAUUUGAGUUUGUCACAUUUACUGGAGACUAAAGCACAAACAUGUUUUAUUCAUUAUCUGUCCUCGUCUCCGCAACAAGCACCUGCAAAACAUUUUGGCUCUCGACCGGAGCAACAAGGUUUCAUUAGACAUGACACUUUCUCCCUGGCUUGGAUGACGAAGCUACAUUUUAUCCCUCCACUUCCAGGCUGUGAAAUUGCCUGGAGAUCAUCACCUUGUACGAACGUGGACUCCGGAGACCUCUUGGCUGAAGUGGGAAAAAGGGAUCGAGGUGAUUACGUAGACCUGAUCUCUGCGAUCAGAGGGGUUUGGGGCAGCACUGAGCUGCUUUAGCCUUACAACAUCCAAAAGAAAGCCCAAUUCUGCAUCGUCAACAGGGAAAAAUGCCACGUGGAGGAGCAGAACUGUUGCAUGUUGUCAUACAGGGGAUUUGCAGGAUGUUUGGAGUGGAGAGCCCUUGUUAUUUUGAUUUUAGCCAGCAGCCGAUAUGGGAGCAGUGGUUCAAAGCUCCUCACCGACUCCUCUCUCCUGGCCAAUGAAUAUGGAUUGGAUGCAAAACAGAAGGGCUCACCGGGAGAGGGAGAGAAGCUGUUUGCCUUGCAAAAUUCAUCAGCCCGGUGCUCAGAUGAACGCUGGAAAUGAAGAAGUGAAAUUCAUGUCCCUCCUCUGAGCUCAGCCCAACAGAGCAGAGCACACGCUCUGGACCACGAGCAUCACCCCUUGCACUCCAGCUAUUAAUUUCCUCACAUCUGUUCUGCCAGCCUUCCCUGGGAUGGAGGGGCUGCCAGGAGAAGCCAAGCCACUGAGUUUUAUUCCUUUACAUGGAUCACAUUUAACGCUGCGUUGCUCUCUGCUUGCUGCCCUGCACAUAUGCUCCCCAGGAGGCAUUGUUAUGGUGCUUUCCCUUUAAUUAUCUUCACAAACGUACAAUUUUUCUCUCUUCACCUUCUCUCUUUCAUUUCCAAAGUCUUUAAUCACUUGUUUUCUUCUCGUUUCUUCUUGAUUUUUCUGACAUAUGCAAUAAAAACACCAGUAAAAUAUUCAUGAAGAAGCACUGAUCUCAGGUCUUUGAGAUCUCGCCGAUGGGAUGCGUAUGGCUGUGUAAUUAAAAGAUACUGUCAAUAAAGCAAGAUAUUGUGACACGCUAAUGGCACAGUGCCAUUUGAGGGAGGCCGGGGAGAUGCCAAAUCUGAUUCUGCAGUUAGUGUUCCAGCAGUUAAAGCCAUCAACCCAAGAAGGAAGCAGAGACAUCCCUACGCAAUGUCAGUUUGCGGCACAUAUUUAUUCAGUGCUAAAUACAGAAGCGACCUUUGAAUUAUUAAUAUAUCUCUUUGGAGGGUAAAAGCAUGAUGCAUUCCUUUGUGCCAUGCUUGAAGGGCAUGGUCAGUGGGUGUAGUGGCAAUGCUGAGUCAUGGCCUGCAGCAGUGAUGGAGCACCUGGGGGGAAGGCAGGGCCAGCCCAGGGCAGCUCAGGUGCAUGCAAUGUGCUGAGUGAUGGAAGGGCUGCAGCCUGGAUCCACCCCUUCCCAGCCCUCAUUUAAGGGUUGGCAGUGGAGGUAGGGGGUCUUGCUGGAGGUUACUGUGUACCUGAGGCCUUCCAAAGGUGAAAAAGAAGGCUGUGUAGCCAACAUCUAAUACUCCCCAGAGCGUGUCCAGAGCUUGACAGCCUUCAAUAGGUUAAUUUUUCAAAGCGGUAAGCUGAUAUUUCUGCAUAAAAUGCACAUCUGCAGGGUAAAUGCUAUUAAGUGUCAGUGAAUUAUGGUCCCAGAGUACAGAUCACUUGAGCCUUAAUGCUACAAGCACCUUAAUGUUUUUUUGAAUGAAGUUUCUGCUAAUUGCUUCCAUAUGAUCGUUUUCUUUUUUGCUUCCCUGAGUUUUUGUCCCAGGACAUACAAUGCUACAAAUAACAAGCAGUGAAACUGGAUUAAUAUGGGAUUAAUGCCUGCUCGCUGGUGGGUUUUGGCAUGGUAUUUUUGGCAUAUGGAUAACGAUGGAACUGGAUUAUAUUCCAUUAGAUGUUAGGGAUUGCUCUUCUCCCCAAGCUGAAGGAGAAUGAAAGGCAGACCCUCCACUGUGCCCAUCUUUAGCCCCUGUUGAUGCCCUCCAGCUCAGUUAUUCUCAAUCCAAGACUCAGAGGCUGCCCAGGGAGUGGUGGGGUCACAUGCCUUGGGAUGUGAUGCUCAAGGAUACGGUCAGUGAGGAUCUGAGAGGUCUUUCCUGACCUCAGUAAUUCUGUGAUGCUGUGUCCAGUACACCUCCCCAGAGCUCAGACUUCACAAUCACUAAGCUGAAUUCAAACAGCAGAAAACCAACAGAAUUCCUCCCAAAACUGGCUUUGAUUUACUGGGGGAGAAACAGAGAAGUGCUGCAUGGUGGGACCUCUGAUUUACAGCCUCUAUAUUUUAUGGCUGGGUCCCGGGGGCUUACAGAUAUUACAGUAAAGCCCCAAAGCAGCCGACUGAAUUAGCAGCACUUGAAAUACAACAAAAAGCCCUCGGGCUGCUGGAGGCUUUUGCUGUGUAGAACCCCUUCGUUAAAGCCUGAAUCCCUUAUUCUGGUCAUGCCUGGAUGCACCUCUGUUGUUGAUAACAUGAUUAACCUCUUGUAGGGUAAGAAAGGAGAAGAAGUGGCUCAAAGGAUGCGGGUGAGGAGGCGGUUAUCAGUGCUGGGGUUCAGCUCAGGUCAUGCUGCUGGUGGGGACAGUGACUGGUUGGUAUUUCCCCCCCUCCAAGGAGAGCCAGAAGAGGUAAAAGCAUUUGGCCUUUGGGAAGGCAGAGGCUGUCAGAGGUGCAUUUCUCAGCUCACCAUAUGUCGGUGCCUUGUCUUGAAGGGAGAGAGUGGGGUGCUUGCAGAAGUUGGGAGGAUGACCCCAAACUAGAGAAAUCUGUAUCAAAAUCCUUAUGGCCAUCACAGUGGUGUUGAGGUAUCUUCCCCUGGGUGGGAAUGUAAUAGUGGGUCCCAUGGAAACACUGAUUUGAGGUUUUUAUUGCAAACAUUGUCUACCAGGAAUGAAAGAAUGGGAACUGCAGAAGGCAUUUGCAGACCAAAGCCAGGGGAUUUCUUGUGGCUUAAUAUAAACCACAUCCUUUCUCUCACAAAAUAUGCACGUCUGCCAGGAUGACUUUCCAUCCACCUGUGCUUGUGUCACUUCAAAUUGAAACUCCUUCCCCAGAAGAGUGACUCUGCAGAUAUGUGUAUACAUAUGGGACUAUAUUUGCCUGUUUGUUUUAUGUAAUAUCUAUGCAAAAUACUUGUAGUUAUUAGGGGAAAAGCACACAGGAAGGGGUCAGCCUUUUCUGUAAGGGGAACUUAGUUUGGAUUAAGGAAAGGAGUGACCUGAAAGCAGGAUUGCUCUCCCCAAAGACCCCCCUGAUGGAUCCAGGAGUGCUGCACUGCGCUGGUGCCACAGGGAGAGGAUGGGAUGGAGGGAGCUAUGCGUGUUCCCCUCAGCAUCCCCAGCAGGGAAUGGUUCUGGCUGGGACUGGGCUGGUUUGUGUCCAGGUUACAUCAGCUCAGAGCAACCUUGGCUGUAAACAGGAAUAAACACAUCCAUGUAGUAAUUUAUGCAUAAAUUAAUUUGACUUCAGUAAUUAGCCAGAAGGAAGUUUACCCUAACCAGUAAACCUCAGUGGAUGGGGAAUUCAUUAAGCAUCUCUGCUUUGCCAAGUGCAGGGCUAGUUUUGCAAUUCAAAGAUUUCAUUUUUAAAUUGUAUUUUGUUCAGCUUUUGGGUUUAUUUUUUGGCAGGGGAAAAUCUCUCACCUCCAAACUCCAACUCAAUGCAACAGAGAAGAGUCUACAGCACUGGGGCUAACUCCUUCUCUCAGGGCUUUGCCCAGGAGCCUCAUGGGCUGGUGGUACCCAGACAGCCUCAAAGCAGCCAUGGGCUGCUGACCCGAGCAGCUGGGUGCCCAUGAAGAUGCACUGUUUGCUGGGUGGGCUUCUGGAGAGAGCAGGAUGCUGCGCUUCCCUGCUUUGUGCUCACCACUGUGGCCCCACAAAUCAGCACAGCCGGAGGCCAGGGAAGAUUUCUUUGAUUGCCUUUUACUUCACUCCAUUGCAUUUCUUACUCAGUUUUCUUGGCUGGAUAUAAAGCCUGGUGCUGGUGGGGUGUAUUGCCAGCAGGGAGCAAGGGGAGCUUGCAACCAACAGGCAGCAUUGCAAUGCAGCAAGUGGCAGAAACUGAAAUGUGCUUCCGCAAGGACCACACUGAGGAAGCAGAGGGAGAAACUCAGCAAACUUUCGGGGUUAACAUCAGAUCUACCACCAGAUCCCACCCUCUUUUGGCUUGUGGGAGAGGGUUGUGCGUGCAGGCUGCUGCCAGAAGGCAUCAGAGCACAGUGCAGCCCGGCAGCUUCACUCGGGCUGCAAGAGAGUUGGAGGUCUUCAGCCAGGCACCUCUGGUUUGCUCGGAGGACUGCCUGAUACCCACUGCCAGUUGCAUGGAGUGAAGGAGGUUUGUGUGUAGAAUGUCUGACACCGAUACAGGUGAGGAGGGAAGCAGUGCCUGGAGGUGCUGAGGUUGGUGAAGACUCUGCAGGAGGGGAGCAGCGCCGGGAGCGGAGCCCUCCCUGCAUCACCUGCACGUUCUCAUCUCGAGAUCCGCGGGGAACGCGAAGAAGCCGCCUUAGGAUGCGGGCAAAGCGUUGGGCAUCGGGAUCUGCUCCGGGCAUCCCCAGGAAGGGGCGGGAGGAGCUGUGUGUGCAUUCCAAGGGCUGCACUGCCACCUCCAGAUGAAAGACCGCACGAUGUCUCUUUCCGUAUGAAUUUCUCAUUGCAGAAUGAAGGCGCAUCGAUGUGAGAAACCGGGCGUUUCUAUGAGAUGACGGCAUUGUUUUUUUUCUGCCCUGCCAGAACAGUGCUGUCCUCCUCCUGCAUGGCCAUCUCCUCGCCUAUGAGCCUCGCAUUGCUGCGGGGCAGCUGCGUGCGGGGUUGCGUUGGCCCCGCGCACCGGGAGGUGGCACUGCAGCCGCAGCUUUGCGUGCCUUUGCACAGGUAAAGUGUGUUUUACUGGGAAAACAGUGGGAAGGAGCAAAACGUGGGAGCGUGGAGCAAGGAGGGUUUCCCUGGCACUUGUUUUCCACCUUUGUGAUGCCCUGGGAAAAGUUCUAAGCAAGCAUUUUCCUCCCCAAGUUCUACUCUGCAAAGUGUGCUCCUCAAGCAAAGCACAGAGAGAAGGGAUCAAUCUAGUGCUCAUAGGACUCCGCUCAUCACUUUCAGCUCUUGCAUAGCCCUUUUAUGCAGAUGGGAAUGGCUUUCUGCAAGAGCAACGGCCAAAGACCAUUGUUGGAGGGUGGCAUCCACCCAAAAAGAAAGGAAACCUGGGCUCACUGCUAGAGCAGACGUGGGAAAAUCAACACCUUGGCAACAUGAGCACACUGCAGAUCUGGAAACAGCACUAAACCUGUCCUGGCUGCACAUGGGAAAAGCUUGCUGGAAACUUCAGACAUACCCCAAGUGAAUCCCACUCCAAGUUCUUCAGAACUUGAAAUAUUAAUGGAAGAAGGAGGUUAUUUUGCACGCCUCUUGCCCAAGCCACCGCCAGAGCCACAGUGUCACCUC